AUGAGCUCCAGCCAGAGGACGCUCCGGGACGUGAUGAUGCAGGAGGAGAGGCCGACCACCAUGGCCAGCCGCCUCCUCGCUCCGGACGCCUCCCUCUCCAACCCCUCCUUCCGCACCUACUACGGCGUCGCCUCCGCCGGCUCGGUGCCGUUCCUCUGGGAGUCGGCGCCGGGGACGCCCAAGAACGACGGCGCCUCGUCCAGGGCGCUCCCGCCCAUCACGCCGCCGCCUUCCUACUACAGCAAGACGAAGAUCACCAAGUCGGAGUCCUCCAAGAAGCUGCUCUCGUCCUCCAAGCCGGCCAGCUUCGUCCCGACGAUGUUCCGCAGGAGCCACACGAUGCCGGCUCCCUCACCGUCCAAGGAGUACAGCCGGAGGAAGAGGCUGGUGGCGAGCCCGCCGCGGUCGUCCUUCUCGUCCACGUCAAGGGGAGAGGACGAAGAAGCGGACGGCGGGGCGGCGUCACCGACGUCUACCCUGUGCUUCCGCGCCCGGCGCUCCGGCGGAGGAACCGGCAGGCUGCAUGGGAUGAUUGCCUCCGUGGUGGGAAGGUAA
rnacentral:rRNA from 1 species